UGGCGGAGCCAUCCUUGGGAUACCACCCUUGUAGUACUGGGACUCUAACCAUAGGCCAUGAAUCUGGUCUUGGGACACUGUCAGGUGGGCAGUUUGACUGGGGCGGUCGCCUCCCAAAAGGUAACGGAGGCGCUCAAAGGUUCUCUCAGUACGGUCGGAAAUCGUACGUAGAGUGUAAAGGCAAAAGAGAGCUUGAUUGCAAGACAUACAGGUCGAGCAAGGAUGAAAAUCGGACUUAGUGAUCCGGUGGUUCUGCGUGGAAGGGCCAUCGCUCAACGGAUA
rnacentral:rRNA from 1 species